rnacentral:rRNA from 1 species
UACGUAGGGGGCAAGCGUUGUCCGGAUUCAUUGGGCGUAAAGAGCGUGUAGGCGGCCAGGUAGGUCGGUUGUGAAAACUGGAGGCUCAACCUUCAGAGGUCGACCGAAACCAUCUGGCUAGAGUCCGGGAGAGGAGAGUGGAAUUCCUGGUGUAGCGGUGAAAUGCGCAGAUAUCAGGAAGAACACCCGUGGCGAAAGCGGCUCUCUGGAACGGUACUGACGCUGAGAGACGAAAGCUAGGGGAGCAAAUGGG